rnacentral:sRNA from 1 species
AGGCCCCUGCAGGCUUGAUUUCAGUUACGAGGUCCACAGCUGCACCAAAAGAAAACCAGCAGGCACCUGUAUGAGGAGCCUCCAUUGGCUGCCCAACUGACCGGGCACUGCUUGCCUGACCCACCUGUUCCAACCUGAUGACACUGCCAUUUCAAGACUCACUGGAUGGAACCAAGACGAUGCCCCUCUAUCAGGAUUCUCUGGAUGCCCAGUGCUGGUAAGUUGCUGUUAGUCACAUCUUAAGAAGGUACCAGAGGAUCCUGUGGAAGAAGAGGGCCACCAAAACCAGAAAUUGAAUGGGAUCCCCUCCAAGUUAAGAUCUCUAAGGUUUAAUGUUUUCUUGCUGACCUGCUUUUACUCCUUAGACUAUGGAAGCCAUAAUGUUAGUCUUGAUCUAUUGGGUUAUGUCCUUACCCUGGAUAUAAUUAAGUCAGACGGACAACCCACUUGGACUCGCUGAUACAGGUCAGGUGACGGAUACCAUUAUAACUUGCCGUCAGCCUGAUCUGAAAGCUGAUGACGGCAAACACUUUCCCUUCCAUCCUAGAACGGGCUGUGGACAUUUACACUUGGAGAAAAACUUAGGAGGUAUCCUGGUUUGCAUCGGUCCAGCCCAGGGAAGCAAAUCCUGCCAGGGCACUAAUGCCACCCACUGUGCCUCUUGGAGCUCCAAGACUGUCACCCUGACUGCCUUAGGGCAAAACAUGAUAGAUAUUCUUGCCACAACUCCCAAGCCCUCUAAAACCAAUGCUUAGUUGUGGGUCGGGGUCACAUUGUAUUCCCCGACCUAAACUCUGGAACAUUUCUGGAUUCUUCUGAAAAUUCACAUUGGAGUGUAGGAAGCGGCUGGGGAAUUUGGCCUUGUGGAGGUGGGCUGGAUCCCAGUUCCUCAAUUACCAUGUAGCAGUAAAGGUUAAGACAAGAAGAACUUAAACCCUUAGGCCCCAGUAGAGACCUCCCGAAUCCCCAGGCUCCUCCAGCACGCCCACAUUCCAAAGACCCCACCUAUCGUCUUGCCUGUUUCUAUCCUCCCCUAAGCCACCUCCAUCCACUGCUCCCAUGGAAUUUCCUCUCCUGACUAUGCUGGCAGCAACCUUUCCUCCACCAUUCUACACCGAACCUGACACAGGACUGAUGGUUUUGCCUCGACCCCAAACCCACCUAUUAUGUAGGAAUGACUUGCAAUCUGUCACUCCCAGCAUUGCCACAAGCUUCUGCUGAUGCCUACUCCUGCUCCCAGCCCAAGCUAUCCCUAGGUGAGGUCCAAGGACAAGGACUGUUUCCUGUCAGAAACUUCAGGCUCCCUAGCUGCUCCAUAUUUGUAUCAUUGUGCAACUGUUGUUCAGCUCCUGACUAGCACAGGGUCAGCAGCUAUUCCCUCCUGCCUCUGCCGAUGCUUGGCGACCUUCUACCGAUGCUAUCACAAGUGCCUGCUGGCUUCCUGCAUUGUCCACAGGACACAUUCGUCUUUGUGCAUCCUCACUCGUGUCCUUCCUCUAGUUACAUUUCCGAUGGGGAUGAAGGCUGGCUGCAUCUAGCCAAGACACCUGACCACCCUCAACCAAAGCGGGCGGUUCUAUGAGUCCCACCUUUAGUGAAUUCAGGGAUGGUAGGGCCUACAGCACUAGGAACAUCAGCCCUGGUCCUGCAAGAUCAGGGUUCAAAACUCUGAAUGCUAAAGUUAAAUAGGAUUUAAGGUUAUUAUAAAAGACUCAGUCCCUAGAUUGGAAGGUUAGGUGGAUUCUCUGGCAGAGAUAAUUUUUACAGAAUAGAAGGUUUGUUUGACUUACUCUUCAUGAAACAAGGAGGGCUGUGAGUAGUCAUCAUCGAAACCUGUUGUUUUUUGGGGUUUUUUUUUUUUCAGAGCUGGGGACCGAACCCAGGGCCUUGCACUUGCUAGGCGAGCGCUCUACAACUGAGCUAAAUCCCCAACCUUGAAACCUGUUGUUUUUAUGCUGACCAUUCAGGCCUAGAGAAACUUGAGCUAUGGUAAGAAACAAUUUGAAAACCAAACACUUAGACAGACAGGAAGGGAACAGUUGGUGCCAGUCCCUAUGUAACUGGUCACCCUGUCUAACCGCCCUUGUUUCAGCUGCCGCAGGUCUCCUCAUACUCCUAAUGUUUCCUACGACCUUCUAGCGCUUCACAAGGCUUGUCUACGGACAAAUAAAGAAUGCUAAAAUGCUUGCCACUAGUAGCCAUUACAAUAGCCAGAAAUGUUAGCUUCCAAGAGGCUUAUGUGACAGGAACACAUAAGACAGAUGAGUCAGAAACCAGUUCAAGUCCAUUUGAAGGCCAGGAGUCGUUUCGAGGCUCUGUUUACUGUAAAACUUACGUUCCAAUGUCUGCUUCUCAGAAUUUAGCUGUACCCCAUCCCAUAACCAAAGAAUGUUCUGUACCAGAUGUUCUGAGAAGAUUUCCUUAACUGCCUUGUUCUUCCUGCUUGCAAAACCCCACCCCCUUCAGUUCCAGAACUCAAACUUUACGGGGAGAUGGCCGCCAGAUUGGCUGUUCUGUGCACAGAUUAAACCUUGCUUUGAAUUGGCCAUAA